rnacentral:rRNA from 1 species
AGAGUUUGAUCAUGGCUCAGGAUGAACGCUAGCGGCAGGCUUAAUACAUGCAAGUCGAGGGGCAACAGGGGUAGCAAUACCUGCUGGCGACCGGCAAACGGGUGCGCAACACGUACAGAACCUUCCUUUAAGCGGGGGAUAGCCCAUAGAAAUGUGGAUUAAUACCCCAUAGUAAUAUUGAUUGGCAUCAGUUAAUAUUUAAAGAUUUAUCACUUAAAGAUGGCUGUGCGUCUGAUUAGGUAGUUGGUCGGGGUAACGGCCCACCAAGCCAUCGAUCAGUAACUGGUGUGAGAGCACGACCAGUCACACGGGCACUGAGACACGGGCCCGACUCCUACGGGAGGCAGCAGUAAGGAAUAUUGGUCAAUGGACGCAAGUCUGAACCAGCCAUGCCGCGUGAAGGAUGAAGGCCCUCUGGGUUGUAAACUUCUUUUAUCUGGGAAGAAAUGCUUGUUUUUCAACGAGUUUGACGGUACCAGAGGAAUAAGCACCGGCUAACUCCGUGCCAGCAGCCGCGGUAAUACGGAGGGUGCAAGCGUUAUCCGGAUUCACUGGGUUUAAAGGGUGCGUAGGUGGGUUAGUAAGUCAGUGGUGAAAUCUCCGUGCUUAACAUGGAAACUGCCAUUGAUACUACUGGUCUUGAAUUUUCUGGAGGUAAGCGGAAUAUGUCAUGUAGCGGUGAAAUGCUUAGAUAUGACAUAGAACACCAAUUGCGAAGGCAGCUUACUACAGGGAUAUUGACACUGAGGCACGAAAGCGUGGGGAUCAAACAGGAUUAGAUACCCCAGUAGUCC